rnacentral:rRNA from 1 species
GAACGCUAGCGGCAGGCUUAACACAUGCGAGUCGAGGGCAGCAUAAACAUUGCUUGCAAUGUUUGAUGGCGACCGGCGCACGGGUGCGUAACGCGUAUGUAACCUACCUCAAACAGGGGCAUAACACUGAGAAAUUGGUACUAAUACCCCAUAACACCUAAAGAGGCAUCUUUUUGGGUUGAAAGUUCCGGCGGUUAAAGAUGGACAUGCGUUGUAUUAGCUAGAUGGUGAGGUAACGGCUCACCAUGGCGACGAUACAUAGGGGGACUGAGAGGUUAACCCCCCACACUGGUACUGAGACACGGACCAGACUCCUACGGGAGGCAGCAGUGAGGAAUAUUGGUCAAUGGACGCAAGUCUGAACCAGCCAUGCCGCGUGCAGGAUGACGGCUCUAUGAGUUGUAAACUGCUUUUGUACAAGGGUAAACCCUGGGACGUGUCCCGGGCUGAAAGUACUGUACGAAUAAGGAUCGGCUAACUCCGUG